rnacentral:rRNA from 1 species
GGAAUCUUCCACAAUGGGCGAAAGCCUGAUGGAGCAACGCCGCGUGUGUGAUGAAGGCUUUCGGGUCGUAAAGCACUGUUGUAUGGGAAGAACAGCUAGAAUAGGAAAUGAUUUUAGUUUGACGGUACCAUACCAGAAAGGGACGGCUAAAUACGUGCUAG